CCCUUAGAUGUCCUGGGCCGCACGCGUGCUACACUGACGCAUACAGCGAGCACUUUCCAGUUCCGAGAGGCUACUGGUAAUCAUCAAUAUGCGUCGUGAUGGGGAUAGAUCUUUGGAAUUCUGGAUCUUGAACGAGGAAUGCCUAGUAAUCGCAGGUCAUUAGCCUGCGAUGAUUAAGUCCCUGCCCUUUGUACACACCGCCCGUCGCUACUACCGAUUUCGAGUGGUCAGGUGAAUCUUUCGGACUGUGGGCGCCCUUGAGGUGUUCGCGGAAAGUCAGGUAAAUCUUAUCACUUAGAGGAGGUAAAAGUCGUAACA
rnacentral:rRNA from 1 species